AAUUUCCAUUGAUGCCCUCAUGGGUUCUUCCGAGCCUUUCAACAGUCCCCUAAGUUCCCGGAGAAAUGGCAUCGCUCCGCAGUAACAAUAUGCCUGCCUUCAAUGUACUUCUAUAGACUGUCUCCAGUCAUGACAGGCUACCAAGAACCUCUGACUUCAAUACUUCAACACUCCUGUUUGAUGGCCGUAUCUCAAGAAUUUGCUGCUAAGGUCGCUCUAGUCUUCAAUGGAUACAAGAAAGAAAUGUUAGAUAUCAAAGACGCAAGAAGAUGGAUCAUUAGUAGUGAUGACAAACAUCUUAAGCUGAGGAAUAUGAAAGUAAAUCCCUAAUUACGGCGCGCCGAGAACGAGUAAAAAUGUAGUACCAAACUCGUCAAGAGAUGGCGCCACCUCCGAGAUAGAACGCGCCAACGAUGUGUCGACGUAGAAUCUUGAUAUCCGAGAUGCAAAUUACUGAUCGUUUUUAAAUGUUAGGAGAAGAUUAAUGCUUGGUUGGCUGCAUAAGUGCAUACCCCUGCUGAGGUCUCAGCAGCUACGCACAAGUUAUCAGUAAUUGUACAUAGUUAGUGUUUUAAUAAAUAAGCCGACUGAUAUAAUUACGUUCUUUUCGUCUGCGGAUAGAUAACCCUUACUACAGUGGAAUAGUAAUAGUUUUUCUUUGUGUACAUAGUAACUAUUGAAUAAUAAACUUAAUGUUUCAUGACUUUUAUAUAAGACCUUUC